rnacentral:rRNA from 1 species
UACGUAGGGAGCUAGCGUUGUUCGGAAUUACUGGGCGUAAAGCGCGCGUAGGCGGCUUUGUAAGUUAGAGGUGAAAGCCCGGGGCUCAACCCCGGAACUGCCUUUAAGACUGCAUCGCUUGAAUCCGGGAGAGGUGAGUGGAACUCCGAGUGUAGAGGUGAAAUUCGUAGAUAUUCGGAAGAACACCAGUGGCGAAGGCGGCUCACUGGCCCGGUACUGACGCUGAGGUGCGAAAGCGUGGGGAGCAAACAGG